AAAAAGUUGAAGAUAUCUCUCUCGAUCUCUCUCAUCGUGAUCGCAUAGCUAGCUAGCUGCAGAGAUUAUACAGAAAUCGUUGUGGGAGUGUGUGCAGUGCUACCGAAAUUGUUUACAAACUUCGUUAACUACGUUUUCGGGCUUGGAAAUUCGUCUUUAUUCGUGGAUUGAUUCUGAUACCGAUUCUGUGAUCUUGGAUUAAUAUUUCUGUGUGAUAGAGAUUACUGUCAACCCGACGUAAAUAGGAGUAGGAAUCGACUGGAUUUUAUUCGGGAGUGGAUAAUCUAGGAUUCAGGGCCUUUUAGUGAAAAAGACUCAACCAUGGGGAACGGCGAGAGUUCCCCCCAGCUGAAGCGAAGGAAUAGCUACCCUUUGAUGGCAUCAAAGCAGGCCAUGCCAGAGAAAAUGGAGCUCGAUGAUCGUUUCAUGAGAAUU
rnacentral:lncRNA from 1 species